UACAAAAUGCCAUACAUAGGACUAGAGAUGU
rnacentral:piRNA from 1 species